rnacentral:rRNA from 1 species
UACGGAGGGUGCAAGCGUUAUCCGGAAUCAUUGGGUUUAAAGGGUCCGCAGGCGGUCUUAUAAGUCAGUGGUGAAAGCCUACAGCUCAACUGUAGAACUGCCAUUGAUACUGUAAGACUUGAAUUCGAUCGAAGUGGGCGGAAUAUGACAUGUAGCGGUGAAAUGCUUAGAUAUGUCAUAGAACACCGAUAGCGAAGGCAGCUCGCUAGGUCUGGAUUGACGCUCAGGGACGAAAGCGUGGGGAGCAAACAGG